rnacentral:piRNA from 1 species
UGGAAACAGCUCUGCCGCGAGAAAGACUUU